rnacentral:lncRNA from 1 species
AGGCCCCUUCCUUGCCUCUUCCAGCUUCUGGUGGCCCCAGGCCAUCCCUGGCUUGCAGAUACGUGGCUCCCAUCUCUGCCUCGGUCUUCACAUGGGGCCUCCCGUCUAUGUCUCUCUGUGUGUCCCGUCCUCUUUUUACAGGGACACCAGUCAUUGGAUAAGGGCUAAUGAUCCUAAUCCAGUGUGAGCUCAUCUUAAUUAAUUACAUCUGCAAAUGCCCCAUCUCCAGUUGCAGAGUCAAACCCAUCCUGGUAUCAACCUGCUUUUAGUACUUCCAGAUUCGUAAGUCAAGAAAUCCUCCUUCCUGCUUGUACCAGUUGGCAGUGGGUUUUCUGGCAUUUGUACCUGGUAUGUGUAGCAGCAACCACCAUUCUACUCUCUGUUUGAAUGAGUUUGAAACAUCCACAUCUGAGUGAGGUCAAUGCCGGUGAACAGAGAGACAGAGGGAAAGAAUUUCAGAAUAUCCUUAAAAAUCGCAGCACCUGGCAGAUCCUGCCUCACACCUCAAGGGCCUGUGUGGGGUCCUAGGUUCAUCCCUGAUCCAUCUCAGAGGUGCGGCGAUCACUGAUCCAUCUCGGAGACUUUUGAGCUUGGACCUGACAUUUGCCACUUCCUCUCCUCCUCACUGGAGACAGAGUGCAAUCUGUUUCUGCAAAGCAAGAGCACUUUAAGAGGGUGGAAGGGCACUCAUCUGUGUCAGGGUCAUGUCUGUGUGCAGAUCCCCCAAGGUCAUUGUUGAGAGAAAGGGGAAGAUGUUGGGGAGGCCGGGCAAGCAUGUGCCGGCUACCCUCACACUUGCACAUAGCAUAUGUCAAGUCACCUAAAGGAAACCUGAAUGAUAUGAUCAGAGACUCUGCAUAGGAUUACUUACUGGUGGUGCCCUGGGUUGAACACAGAGGUCGCCAAAGCAGGACCAGCCAUCAUGGCGAUAGAGGCCCCAUGCAGAUAAACCCUGUGCAUGAAAAACCUAGGAUUUUAGAACAAAUUGAGAAGGAGGUCAGGCAUUCAAGACCAGCCUGGCCAACAUGGUGAAACCCCGUCUCUACUAAAAAUA